GCGAAAACUUUACAAUGCUGGCAACAGCGAUAAGGGAACCUCGAGUGCCAGGUUACAAAUCUGGCUGUCGAGAUGCCUAAAAAGCAUUUCAUAGCAAGGGCCGGGCAAGACCGGUGCCAGCCGCCGCGGUAACACCGGCGGCUCGAGUGGUAACCGUUAUUAUUGGGUCUAAAGGGUCUGUAGCCGGCCGGAUAAGUCUCUUGAGAAAUCUGGCAGCUUAACUGUCAGGCCUUCAGGAGAUACUGUCUGGCUCGAGGCCGGGAGAGGUGAGAGGUACUUCAGGGGUAGGGGUGAAAUCUUGUAAUCCUUGAAGGACCACCAGUGGCGAAGGCGUCUCACCAGACAGUUUCUGACGCUAAGAUACGAAAGCGUGGGGAGCAAACA
rnacentral:rRNA from 1 species